GGCAGGUAUCUCACAGGUAAUGACUCAGGCUCUCUCUCCUGCCGUGGGCUUCAGCACAGGGGGUUACACACAGCAUAUAUUGCAGGGUCGCAGCCCCAACCUCAUCCGACUGUCUUCGGGCCGAUUGGAAAGAGCUGUUGUAGGCUAGUGGUAUAAACGUCGCUGCUGUGGCCCUUCAAUCCUCUCGGAAUCGUUGCGCCCCGGCUCACCCACCGCUUUGCUCCGUGGUGGGGCCGUAGUCUCAUACACUGGAGGCUCACAAUGCACUUUGGACAAGUAUUCCACAAUAACACACUGAAUCAAAUACUGAGUACUGACAAUGUUGAUGAUUGCUUUCCUUUGUUUACCUCCAUAGGACAGAUAAUUUCCUCUUCGCCCCGAUGUAUAUACACAUCUGCCGUUUCCUUCAGUACUCUCACGUUCCAGCAAACCGUAGAAUCCUAUCGUUACCAGCGUGACUUAGCCAAACUCUUCACUCGGUGACACCAGAGCGGUCCAACGACACAACACAGCUGCCCCGAACAACAAUGUACUCAACUGU